rnacentral:rRNA from 1 species
UACGUAGGGUGCGAGCGUUAAUCGGAAUUACUGGGCGUAAAGCGUGCGUAGGCGGUUCCUCAAGUCCGUUGUGAAAGCCCCGGGCUCAACCUGGGAAUGGCAGUGGAAACUAGGGGACUGGAAUCUGGCAGAGGGGGGUGGAAUGCCGCGUGUAGCAGUGAAAUGCGUAGAGAUGCGGCGGAACACCGAUGGCGAAGGCAGCCCCCUGGGUCAAGAUUGACGCUCAUGCACGAAAGCGUGGGGAGCAAACAGG